AGAACGAACGCUGGCGGCAUGCCUAAUACAUGCAAGUCGAACGAACACUUCGGUGUUAGUGGCGCACGGGUGCGUAACGCGUGGGAAUCUGCCCUUGGGUUCGGAAUAACAGUUGGAAACGACUGCUAAUACCGGAUGAUGACGAAAGUCCAAAGAUUUAUCGCCCAGGGAUGAGCCCGCGUAGGAUUAGCUAGUUGGUGAGGUAAAGGCUCACCAAGGCGACGAUCCUUAGCUGGUCUGAGAGGAUGAUCAGCCGCACUGGGACUGAGACACGGCCCAGACUCCGUACGGGAGCAG
rnacentral:rRNA from 1 species